CUACUUAAAAAGGAGGAACAUGUUCCCUAUUCUGCCUAUCAUCUCACUACGACCGCUUUUCGUCGUACGUCGUGCUCCUUCGUCUCACAUCGCUCGCUCCAAACGGGCCAAGCCCAACAAACCACUCUCCGCUACACCGUCUUCUUCCAUCCGCGUCGUCAACGCGUAUUCCCGGGCCUCUUUGUCCUCUCCUCUCCCUCUCUCCACCUAGGUCUAUUCCCCGCCGCCACCGCACGAAUCCCAGACAUAGGCCGCGCGCCCUCACGAUGGAGGUGGAAAACUGGAUGGGGCGAUGCCUCAUCCUCGGAAAGGCCGGGCUGGAGUUCUUCAAUAGAGUCGGCAAGGAUGUGGAGAUGGAGGAGGCCGUGCCGUCGUGGGCGGCGAUGUCCAUAGGCUGCUCGAGAGUCGAGACCCUCACCUGGCCGUGUCGUCCUCCAUGGGAUCCGUGGACGCCGCGAUGUCUCCUCCCGCCUAUUCCUCCGCUGUUCCAUGGCUGCCGCCUCCAUACGCCUCAAGCUCUGCGAUGGGACUGGAGCCAGGGUCGUGGGCGACAACGAUGUUGCGUCCGUCCCCGCUACUCCCCCUAUGAGUUAUGAUGGAGGUACCAGAUGCAUAUCAUUGAUGUUGAUCAUUCGUUGGUGACCUCCAAUGCCUGGUUGUAAGAGAGUUCCUCCUUGAAAAACGCACCAUAUCAUAGGCAUAAAGUCCAGUCCAAACACGCAAAUGGUGAAGCCUGAUCGUUAAUAUGCCAAUAUUUCUGCCCCACAUAUGAUUUUAGUUGUGCCUGCACAUGUGAAGGGAGAUUAUAGUUGCAAGAUCUGAAAGCUAUCCACGCUUCUUGGUAAUGGACUCUCCAGUUGGUACUUGAUGAGCUUUCAAUAUAUAUUGAUUGUGUUGGAUGCGUAUAUUUUUUUUAGAUGGAUAGCAAGUUGUAUGUAGCAAGGGUUAUUGGGAGGGGAGACUGAAACUAAGAUCUAUCCGGUGAGUUGAGGUAAAAGGUGGGGUGCCAGAAAUAUUCAAUGUGAUGUAUGCACAAACACUUUUGAUGCUAAAACUUUUGUACAUGUAUUCCAUAGUAUUUUUCCACAUACACUGGUACCUAUAUUUCAUCAUACUUGCCACAUUAUAUGGUUUCAGUUAGUACACUGCAAUGGAAUCUACAAAAGAGUACUAUAAGGAGAAGCAUGCAGCAACUUUCUGCUAUUGCAUAAUACCAUGUACAACAUGUAUUCUGAACACAAGAUAAUCAUCAUAUGGUUAGUAUCUAACAGUUGUUUUAAAAACAAGGGCAUCACAUACUGUUGAUUUCAUUUUAUUUCCAAUAAAAGCACUGCAUUUUUUCAUUUCCCUUUUUUCAACCAUCAUGCAAACAGAAUAAGUGCCCUCAUGUUUCUAUUUCGGUUGAGAUUUCCUUUCUUCCUGCAGGGAUUAUCAGAGAAGUGUAUGCAAGAGUUGUCUGCCACCAAAGCAGAUUCCAGAUAAAAGAGUCAAAUAUCAUUUACUAAGGACAAAUCUGAUAAACCAGUUCAGAUGCAUGUGUUAACCUUUUUUUCCUUCAUGAUCUCCGUGUCUUCAAAUGGAUUCUUUCAUCUAUCUCGGCUUGCCCAUCAGCACCAUGACGUCGACUAUCUGUACCCAUACUGUACGUACUGAAGAUUGAAAAUUCAUCUGACCUAUAGUGAAUGCUAACCCUGAGAGGAGAAAGAUAAGAGGGAGGUGUAACAUGGUUCUUGCUGCUGCUUGAGGACUCCACUGAAGAAAAAUAGAAGAGAAGACGGAGAGAAGAGAAAGGCCCGCAUAUCUUGAUGGAGAUCAUAAAAAUUUGUCUGCACACUGGUGACUUCUACCUAUUUUUCUGUAUAAGGGUAUAUUGUUUUUAAUAUAGGUUGGAGAAAUCUGAAUGUUCAGGUUGGAUCAGUAACCACUUAAUAGUUGCACAAUGCUUUCCAACUAUGCUUUGGUUGAAAAGCAUCUACUAAGCCACCCUUCCAAAAGGCAUUAAGGUUGCUAUUGCUUAUAUACAAAACCUGAACUAACUGUAGUUAACUAUUUCAAUUUUCUCACAUCUAACUAUUCAGAUGUUGUGAUUAUAGGCUAACCCUGUUUGUGACUUGUGAUUUGAUUUUGUAUUGACGACAUCUGAAUUAGUAAUACUUGCCCGAGCUUAUAAUUUAGUACUACUGGAAAUUCUAAUUCCUUUUCACCAUGUAUAUAUCCGUGUUCUCGGUUACCUCAUACUGCAGUUCUUUGUGAAACUGACGGUGAUGGAACUUAAAAAAUCGCAGACUUGAUAAUUCACAAAGAUAUGUACACAUUUACCACAUAAAUGUUCUCAUUUUUAUAUUAUUCAGGAUGCCAUAGGUUUUAAUAUCUCUUUUUUCAUUUCCUUUUCGUUGAUCAGCGAAAGCAGGUCAUGUGAUUUUGGCUACUGCUUAUUCCCUGCCCCAUUGUGAAACUACGGACAAAGCUUAAAUAAUUAGAUUGCCUAACAUACCUCAAUUAUGCGUGCAAUUAAGUCUAUAAUGUAGCAUUUUGAAUAUCUUCAUAUUGUUUGUAGUGACCGCAGUUAGUCUUCGCCAGCUGCUGGCUUCAAUUUCUCCUCAAUCUGUAUGUUCUGAUAUAAAGAUUAAUGAACCUGCUCAUGUGAUAGUUCACGUGUGAAGGGGAGUGUCCGUGGCUGCUUCAGUUGCCUAUGAUUGUUUGAACUUCAUUGAUGUUGAUUAAUAUUUGAUCUUUACCAAUUUUGAUCAUUUUAUAGAAGGCCAGUCUGCUUGUGCUAUAAA